UUUUUACUUUUAUUCUCUAUUUUUCUAGUUCAUUGUUUGAAAAUUCUUAGUGUCAAUUUCCUGCAGAUUUGACCCUAUUCACUCUAUACACAAUUCAUAUUUGUUGGUUUUUAAUAAGUUAUUUUUUGUAGUUUUGACAGCUAUCAAGAUAAGUGUUAAUUUCUUUAGUAGCCCUUGUAAGUUAUGUUUUAGUUUGUUAUGGAGAAAUCCCAAUAUCUUCCUACUGAUUGUAAAGAAGGCCUCAAACCGGUCGAUUAAAUUGAACCGAACUGAUAUUUUUCGAUUUGGUUUGAUUCGAUUUCACUAUAUAUUCGGUUCGGUUUCAGUUUACAAUAUUAUGCUUUUCGAUUUUUCAAAUUUAGUUUGGUUCGAAACCGAACCGAACAAACCGAUUGUAUACCCCUACUUAAUGAUAUAUUUUGUAAGCCCAUUUAUUUGGAGUUAAGUUUAUGCUAUCUUAUUUGCUUUAGUAUUACUAGUUUAGUUGUUUGGGCUUAGUUUUGAAACUUAGUGUGCUGCUCCUUUGCCAUGGACUAUUAAAUUUAGUCAGUCUUGUUUGAGCACAUUAGAGUUUAGUUUAUCAUUCUCUUAGGAUUAAGUUUAGUUUUCUCUAUGUAAACUCAAGCCGUCCUUUGCAUCAUACAACUUCUUUAAUCAAAAUUCAGAAUUAUUCAUACUAUUUGCAUGUCUUUGUUAUUGUGAGAGUAUGAGAUUGCAUUCUUCCAAUUAAAUCAACAAUUAAGGUAAAGGUAAACUUCUCAAUUCAAUUGUGGCGUUUGGCUUGUUUCUUUAAUCCUCAAUUAUUGGUGUUCUUGCUGUCCUUUGUGAUGCCAUAGAGUGUAGUUUAUUAUUGAUCUUUGGAGCUAUUCCAUUUUAUCACAAAGCUUUUCGACUUGAUCCAUAAGGUUCCGCGUCAAAGUGACUCCUAAGCUCAAAACAUGAUGAAUAAAAUAAAACAAUAUGGCGGGUGUGGUAUAUGACCAUAAGGUAAGUUCUAUAGAAUUAUGGCUAGACCAACUGCAUUACAUGGGAGUAAAUGAUGGGCAUCUAAGGUACAAUAUACCGACAAUAUGGUUGUGGCAGAAAUAUGGAUUUUGAUAUAAAUGUUUGGUAACACGAUAAUAGAUAAGGUUAAUGAAUGAUAAACAUUCCAAAGAGUGCAUGUAGCACAAUUGGAGAUGAACUGAGAGAGAGUCAAGUUAAUAUGAUUUAGCAUAUGAGAGACAGUCUAUUAAUAUGAUUCAGUCAUGUCCAACCUAGAGUGUAGAAUGCCCAUUGUAGAAAGAUAAUAUUUGUUAUUGUUGUUGUAUUUCAUAAUAAAGAUUAUGACCUAUUUAUAUACAAAAGACGGUAUCUAAACAGGAAGGAAAAUCAAGUCUAUGAUUAUACAAUCCCUAAGAUUAAGCAACUACCCAUCUAUCAAUAUUUACUUCCUAUAUUAAUAUAUUUACUUCCUAUAAUCUAUAACACUCCCCCUCAAGUUGGAGCAUAAAUGUUAAUCAUGCCCAACUUGUUACAUAUACUCAACUCGUCCCAUACAACUUAGCAGACACCGAAUUUGUGAACCCAACUUCUUCCGAUAAUUGACGUACCCACAAAACUUCACAAACGGUUUUUGCCAUGACUCGACAUUCAGGUUCAGCACUAGAACGAGAGACCACAUUUUCUCAACUUGGUAAAAUGCCUUACACACAUCAUAAAUAUGAGAAAUAUUCCCUUUGCCAAAAUAUAGAAAUUCCAAAUACUCCAUUAAUUCUUUAACAAAUUCAGAAUGAUUAAUAAGACUAAUCACCUUACUGUGAAUAGAAUUUCAAAUCCUUGAACAGUACUCGAUGAACAGUACUCGUGAACAGUACCCGAUGAAUAAUUCCCGUGAACAGUACCCGAUGAAUAAUUCCCGUGAACAGUACUUGAUGAACAGAACCCUAAGUCUCCAAAUGUUAUCCUUUAUGAGUAACCCAAAUGAACAGAGUUCUAAGUCUCCAAAUGUUACCCUUUACGAGUAACCCAAAUGAACAGAGCCCUGAGUCUCCAAAUGUUACCCUUUAUGAGUAACCCAAAUGAACAGAGCCCUGAGUCUCCAAAUGUUUAUGAGUAACCCAAAUGAACAGAGCCUUGAGUCUCCAAAUGUUACCCUUUAUGAGUAACCCAAAUGAACAGAGCCCUAGGUCUCCAAAUGUUACUCUUUAUGAGUAACCCAAAUGAACAAAGCCCUAAGUCUCCAAAUGUUAUCCUUUAUGGGUAAUCCAAAUGAACAAAGUUCUAAGUCUCCAAAUAUUUAAGACUUGACGAGAGAGAAAAAAAUAAAUUUCUACGAACCUGGCUCUGAUACCAUGUAGAAAGAUAAGGUUAAUGAAUGAUAAACAUUCCAAAGAGUGCAUGUAGCACAAUUGGAGAUGAACUGAGAGAGAGUCAAGUUAAUAUGAUUUAGCAUAUGAGAGACAGUCUAUUAAUAUGAUUCAGUCAUGUCCAACCUAGAGUGUAGAAUGCCCAUUGUAGAAAGAUAAUAUUUGUUAUUGUUGUUGUAUUUCAUAAUAAAGAUUACAACCUAUUUAUAUAUAAAAGACGGUAUCUAAACAGGAAAGAAAAUCAAGUCUAUGAUUAUACAAUCCCUAAGAUUAAGCAACUAACCCAUCUAUCAAUAUUUACUUCCUAUAUUAAUAUAUUUACUUCCUAUAAUCUAUAACACCCAUAAUAGAAGUGUAGCAAGUUGAUAGUGGAAGUAGUACGAAGGAAAAGAGGAAGACUUAAAAUGAUGCGAGGAAAAGUAUAUCCAAAGAUUAAUAAUAGUUGGAUAUUGAUGCAGAUUUGAUGUAAAAUGAGCUGAAUGGUGAAAAAAAUAUGCACGAAACCAACUCCAACU
rnacentral:lncRNA from 1 species